rnacentral:rRNA from 1 species
CUACGGGUCGCACCAGUGGGGAAUAUUGGACAAUGGGGGAAACCCUGAUCCAGCAAUGCCGCGUGUGUGAAGAAGGCCUGCGGGUUGUAAAGCACUUUCGGUUGGGAGGACUGCUUCUAGCACUAAUAUUGUUGGAAGUUGACGUUACCUUCAGAAGAAGCACCGGCUAACUCCGUGCCAGCAGCCGGGGUAAUACGGAGGGUGCAAGCGUUAAUCGGAAUUACUGGGCGUAAAGCGCGCGUAGGCGGCUAGAUCAGUCGGGUGUGAAAGCCCCGGGCUUAACCUGGGAACUGCAUCCGAUACUGUCUAGCUUGAGUACAAGAGAGGAGAGUGGAAUUCCACAUGUAGCGGUGAAAUGCGUAGAUAUGUGGAGGAACACCAAUGGCGAAGGCAGCUCUCUGGCCUGAUACUGACGCUGAGGUGCGAAAGCGUGGGGAGCAAACAGGAUUAGAUACCCUAGUAGUC